rnacentral:rRNA from 1 species
CGGAUCGGAGUCUGCAACCCGACUCCGUGAAGCUGGAUUCGCUAGUAAUCGCGCAUCAGCCAUGGCGCGGUGAAUACGUUCCCGGGCCUUGUACACACCGCCCGUCAAGCCAUGGGAGCCGGGGGUGCCUGAAGUUCGUUACCGUAAGGACCGACCUAGGGCAAAACUGGUGACUGGGGCUAAGUCGUAACAAGGUACC